UCCAGAUGAAGCAAGGAGUGUUCAUGCUGUCCGUGUAUGCUCCUCGCAUUUCACCGAUAAUGUGUACCUGGAUGAGAACAUCAUGGAAGUGCAACUUGGAUUGACACAAAAAAGGAACGAAUUGAAACUUGACGCCGUUCCGACAGUGUUCCACGAACAAAGCGAGCCAGCAACUUCGACACUGCAGGCAGUUCGACAGGGUCAAGCGCAAGUGAAGGACCAGGUGCUGCUGAUCAAGUCCCAUCCAUCCAUGAAACGGCAUCAAACAAUGUACGUGUGUGCACGGCAAUUUUGCUGAGAGACCUGGUUUUUACACUAAUGCCUUUACGACGCCUCUGACAAAUUAGGAUCUUCCAGAACAGUGCUUUCUUCAUCCAAGUUCAAGAAGUAAAGAGAAUGACUUCAUGGCUUCUACUGACAUCUCACAGCUACAUGCCAAGACAAAAUAACUUGACAGCAGGAAAUGAAAAGAAAAAAAAAGGUCCGUUUCAGGUCCACCCAAAUCUUUGUGCAGAGGCUGACAACAACAACGCUAUUGUGAGAUGAUGAAUGAUGCUGAUGCAGCGUUGAGAUUAAGCCCUUGUUUCCUUUUUUGCAAUGCUAUACAUUACUGCUGGUUAAAUGUAAAAUGAUGCACCUACCUCCAGACAUUAAAGGGGCUACCAGAGAUGUAGUGUCAAUUCAACAGAAAACCUGCAUGUUCUACGAGGCACUGUCACAUAAGCAUUGGCCAAAUUUGCUGUCCUGUGAGCUUUGAUAGGAUAUGCCGUAGAUAGUAAGAGGCCUCUUACUGUAAAAGGGAGGUGCAUUAAUCGAGUAGUGGGGUCUGAGGCAUGAGGGCCAUUUCAGGAUGUACUAACCCUUCUAAAAUUU